ACGCCCUGUCGCUGCCCUGGAUUACCUGCGCCUGGGAUCCCUUUCGUGGGUGCGGCUCACCGCCAAGAGAGCUGCCAUGGCCGGCGCGUCGGGACGGGGGCACUUAGAUGGAGAGGCUGCCUGCCUGCCUACGUCCAAAGAACAGCCAUGGCCAGUGCGUCAGGAUGGCUGGAGCAGCUGCCGCCCAUGAAAUCCGAGGAUAAUCGGGUGGGAGGAUUGACGGUGGAGGAGCCCUUCUCCUUCAUUCGUAUGCGGAGCCGCCAGAUCUUUUGUUUCCCAAUGUAGCACCACCGUUUUUCAGGGCCAGGGUCGAGUUUGGUUGUUGUUUUCUUCGGAGGCCAUCAUGCUGGUCAGUGUGCCGCUAGGCGCUAGCAGUGCCAAGGUCGUCCUCGGUCUGCACAUGGUGAGCGGUGGGCAUCAUGGACGCCUCCACCGUCUUCUCCAGCUUCCACAGAGUUGCCAGCAGGCGUGAUGUUCUAUUGCUACCUCUAUGAUGGAGCCAUGGAGGUACCAUUUGGACAGCUCAUUAGUUCCAUCCUAGGACCAAUCCCUAAUGAUUGUUCAUUUGUCAGACUAUCCAUGCAGUUCAUAGGUUAUUCUUUAUUUCUUGAUUCAUGAAUCAAGGUCUUCCAGCAAAAGUUACAUAGUUUAUAUAAGUUAAUGUACUUAAGGGAUAAGACUAAGUAGGGAAAGUUGUUUUAAUUUACUUAAGAGUUAAAUGUUACCAUUGUGCAGCAAGUUUGUUACGAAAAACCAUUGUGCAGCAAACAGUACUGUAAUUAUAACCGCCAGUGUAUUACGGUAGAAAUUCUGAGCCAUCUUCCUAUUUAACUGGAGUAUGAUACAUGAACAAUGCUAGAACCGAUAGUAUGAUACAUGAACAAUGCUAGAACCGAUAGUAGAAAAACAUGUAUUCAAAGACUAACUUUGCAGGGCAUUUCUACUAUUUUUUGCACUCAAAGAAUGCAAGACAAUUAAUGAA